rnacentral:rRNA from 1 species
CGAAUGCUGACAUAAGUAACGAUAAAGCGGGUGAAAAGCCCGCUCGCCGGAAGACCAAGGGUUCCUGUCCAACGUUAAUCGGGGCAGGGUGAGUCGACCCCUAAGGCGAGGCCGAAAGGCGUAGUCGAUGGGAAACAGGUUAAUAUUCCUGUACUUGGUGUUACUGCGAAGGGGGGACGGAGAAGGCUAUGUUGGCCGGGCGACGGUUGUCCCGGUUUAAGCGUGUAGGCUGGUUUUCCAGGCAAAUCCGGAAAAUCAAGGCUGAGGCGUGAUGACGAGGCACUACGGUGCUGAAGCAACAAAUGCCCUGCUUCCAGGAAAAGCCUCUAAGCAUCAGGUAACAUCAAAUCGUACCCCAAACCGACACAGGUGGUCAGGUAGAGAAUACCAAGGCGCUUGAGAGAACUCGGGUGAAGGAACUAGGCAAAAUGGUGCCGUAACUUCGGGAGAAGGCACGCUGAUAUGUAGGUGAAGUCCCUCGCGGAUGGAGCUGAAAUCAGUCGAAGAUACCAGCUGGCUGCAACUGUUUAUUAAAAACACAGCACUGUGCAAACACGAAAGUGGACGUAUACGGUGUGACGCCUGCCCGGUGCCGGAAGGUUAAUUGAUGGGGUCAGCGCAAGCGAAGCUCUUGAUCGAAGCCCCGGUAAACGGCGGCCGUAACUAUAACGGUCCUAAGGUAGCGAAAUUCCUUGUCGGGUAAGUUCCGACCUGCACGAAUGGCGUAAUGAUGGCCAGGCUGUCUCCACCCGAGACUCAGUGAAAUUGAACUCGCUGUGAAGAUGCAGUGUACCCGCGGCAAGACGGAAAGACCCCGUGAACCUUUACUAUAGCUUGACACUGAACAUUGAGCCUUGAUGUGUAGGAUAGGUGGGAGGCUUUGAAGUGUGGACGCCAGUCUGCAUGGAGCCGACCUUGAAAUACCACCCUUUAAUGUUUGAUGUUCUAACGUGGACCCGUGAUCCGGGUUGCGGACAGUGUCUGGUGGGUAGUUUGACUGGGGCGGUCUCCUCCUAAAGAGUAACGGAGGAGCACGAAGGUUGGCUAAUCCUGGUCGGACAUCAGGAGGUUAGUGCAAUGGCAUAAGCCAGCUUGACUGCGAGCGUGACGGCGCGAGCAGGUGCGAAAGCAGGUCAUAGUGAUCCGGUGGUUCUGAAUGGAAGGGCCAUCGCUCAACGGAUAAAAGGUACUCCGGGGAUAACAGGCUGAUACCGCCCAAGAGUUCAUAUCGACGGCGGUGUUUGGCACCUCGAUGUCGGCUCAUCACAUCCUGGGGCUGAAGUAGGUCCCAAGGGUAUGGCUGUUCGCCAUUUAAAGUGGUACGCGAGCUGGGUUUAGAACGUCGUGAGACAGUUCGGUCCCUAUCUGCCGUGGGCGCUGGAGAACUGAGGGGGGCUGCUCCUAGUACGAGAGGACCGGAGUGGACGCAUCACUGGUGUUCGGGUUGUCAUGCCAAUGGCACUGCCCGGUAGCUAAAUGCGGAAGAGAUAAGUGCUGAAAGCAUCUAAGCACGAAACUUGCCCCGAGAUGAGUUCUCCCUGACUCCUUGAGAGUCCUGAAGGAACGUUGAAGACGACGACGUUGAUAGGCCGGGUGUGUAAGCGCAGCGAUGCGUUGAGCUAACCGGUACUAAUGAACCGUGAGGCUUAACCUU